UACAGAGGUCUCAAGCGUUGUUCGGAUUCAUUGGGCGUAAAGGGUGCGUAGGCGGCGCGGUAAGUCGGGUGUGAAAUCUCGGGGCUUAACUCCGAAACUGCAUUCGAUACUGCCGUGCUUGAGGACUGGAGAGGAGACUGGAAUUUACGGUGUAGCGGUGAAAUGCGUAGAUAUCGUAAGGAAGACCAGUGGCGAAGGCGGGUCUCUGGACAGUUCCUGACGCUGAGGCACGGAAGGUCAGGGGGAGCAAACGGG
rnacentral:rRNA from 1 species